rnacentral:rRNA from 1 species
AUUGAACGCUGGCGGCAGGCUUAACACAUGCAAGUCGAGCGGGGUGAUGGUGCUUGCACUAUCACUUAGCGGCGGACGGGUGAGUAAUGCUUAGGAAUCUGCCUAUUAGUGGGGGACAACAUCUCGAAAGGGAUGCUGAUACCGCAUACGUCCUACGGGAGAAAGCAGGGGAUCACUUGUGACCUUGCGCUAAUAGAUGAGCCUAAGUCGGAUUAGCUAGUUGGUGGGGUAAAGGCCUACCAAGGCGACGAUCUGUAGCGGGUCUGAGAGGAUGGUCGGCCACACUGGGACUGAGACACGGCCCAGGCUCCUGCGGGAGGCAGCAGUGGGGAAUAUUGGACGAUGGGGGGAACCCUGAUCCAGCCAUGCCGGGUGUGUGAAGAAGGCCUGAUGGUUGUAAAGCACUUUAAGCGAGGAGGAGGCUCUUUUGGUUAAUACCCAAGAUGAGUGGACGUUACUCGCAGAAUAAGCACCGGCUAACUCUGUGCCAGCCGCCGCGGUAA